AGAUAUUUCCUCGUACCCCUUUCAUCUUCCUCGGAUUGAAUGAGUGACACCGCCGGAGCUGCCACCGACGGUGAAUGCCACCACCACCAGUGGCCACCAGAUUAACAUUUCGUCUUCUCCUCGUCUCGAUUCCCCAGUUCAUUUCUCUCAAAUCCUAGCCUAGCUCGUCGAAUCUUUGCCCAAAUAUUUUCCGACCAAGAUGCAAAACCAUCCAAACCUUACCAAAUUAACACCGAAGAAUCGUCGUAGCAUCCUUUUUCAAACCCCUAAAGAGACAUCCCUCGAAAAUGGCUGGAAUGCCUCGAAUAUCAAAAUGAAUUUUUCCGGCCAAAACUCUAAUUGCCCCAAACUUCACCAAUAUGAUACCAAAUGACCCUCUAACCAUCCUCGUAGUGGAUCGGUCAUUAAUCGAGCUUUAUUUCUGCCGGAGUUGGUCGUGUUAGAAUUUGAAAUUUUGACAGAAGUCGCGAAGUAAGUCAGUAAGUUUCAGUUUCUUUUUAUUUUUCUUUUUCCUUGAUGCUCUGACCUCCCAUGACUAGGUAGCUUUUUAACUUAGUUUGGUAAUAGUUGUCAGUCCGAAAUCAAUGACUUGUUUAUUUCUGUUUCAGUUUUUGGUCCUUGUCUGUUUGAUUCAUGUUAGUUUAGGGGAUUGAUUGGUUAUUUGUUAGAUUUGUUUCUAUUUGGCUAUUUGAGUAAUGAUUCUUAAUUGUAAUUCUGAUUAGAUCAUUUGAAUGUUAUAUGGUUCUUAUGUCUGAUUAAUUUCUGUUUGUAAUGGUUUAAUUCAUCUUCAAUUGAUCACCUUAUUGUGUGUUUAGUUGGUUAACUAGAUAAUUUUAGGUAGGUGUUUGGUUUAAGUAAUUUAGAAGUACUAAAGGGUAGUUUAGGUAUUUUUUAUUGGGUAAGAAAUGGUAGAUCACACUAGAAUAGUUUAGACCCUUCUAGAAUAGGACCUUAGUGAAAAUUUUAGAAAACUCAGGGUGUUUCCUUGAGCAACAAGUUUUAAAAUGAGGGACAAUAACUGAAAAUGAGGAGGGACUAAAGGAAUAACUGAAAAUCUGAUUGUUGCCUAUAAAAGGCAUCACAAAUGCCUUGUUGAAUAAGUUAGAGAGCCAAAAUAUUCCCNNNNNNNNNNNNNNNNNNNNNNNNNNNNNNNNNNNNNNNNNNNNNNNNNNNNNNNNNNNNNNNNNNNNNNNNNNNNNNNNNNNNNNNNNNNNNNNNNNNNNNNNNNNNNNNNNNNNNNNNNNNNNNNNNNNNNNNNNNNNNNNNNNNNNNNNNNNNNNNCCCCCCUCCCCGCCAAAAAAGUUCUCUCUAGAUUUCCAAAUCUGAGAUUUCAAAACACUUCUCUAAGAUUACACAUAUCUGAAGUUACUCGAUCAGCUCUCAAUUUUGAUGUUGAAAUUUUUAAUUUGCUAAAUCUUCUGAUAGCUAAUGUUUUAGUUGGAGUUUGGGUUUAUUGGAUUGAUCUGAUGCAUUUUCAAGUAUAUUCGGUGUGAAUCAAGCUAGUUUGGUUGGUCUUUCCUAUUUCUUUUGGUGUUUGGUUGUCUACUGGGCGUCCUUGAUACUAUUUCUUGGCUGGUUAUUGUCGAAUUCUGUUGUUGCUGAGAGUUGUUGCUUGUUGUUGACCUCUUCCUGUUCUUCCUGUUCCAUUAAAUCCAGGUACACGCCUAAAACUGGCCAAAUGUAGCUGUUUAAAUUGAAAGCUGAAAUGAAAUGGUAUUCUUUGGAAUUUAUGUGCUUGAGCUGCUGGUGGAGUAGUAGUAGAUAAUUUGUGUUUGUUUAAACUCAUUGUGGUUUGUAUAUUGUGUUGUAUAAUUGAACUGAUAGAACUGUUAUAGUAUUGGUUCGAUUUAGUUGUUGUGUAGUUCAAUUCCGGAAUUAAAAGCAAGCUGAAAUUGGGAAAUGGUUUAGAAAUUCACGAGUUUCAAUUGUAUCAAUAACAUUGAGCUGAAAUCAGUAGGAAAGUACUGAGUCUGAUAGUUCGUGUUAAGUUCCAAAUAAUUGCAGCAGGUCCAUCCAUAGAAUUGGGAAUCACUUGAGCAUUAAUAAUAACCUGAAUUAGUUCAAGGCAUAUGGUGUGCUUCGACAUUCUGUUGAAGUACACAUGCAUCCUCCGUCAUUUGUUUGCAUGAUAUAGAGCUAAGUUGUCUAGGAGGAGACUAUUCAAUAUUAUUGUUUUGUGUUGAUUCAUUCCAGCAUAUUCCUACUAUUUUGCUUCUCACGUGAAUAAAGUUAUUGACGGCAGUGUGCUAAACUCGCCAGGUUAUUUCUGUGAUAUAAAUCAUUAGUUUAAAAAAUCAAUGGUUACAUUUAAAUGUAAGUCUAGCAUGAGUCUUAUCACAUGCCUGGAACCCAAAGAAAUUCACGCGAAUUAGUUACUGCUCGGCCAAGUAUUAUUGAGUUGGAUAUAAAUGAGUAUAGAUAAACUUCAAUAGAGGAAUUAUAAAGACGUUGAAGAUGUCCCUUUUAAAAAUAAACGAGACGAGCCUCGCCCAAUAAAAUACAAAAUUGAGGGGCCCUCAGUAAAGGUUUAAAAAUGUUUUAGAAAUCGGGAUGGGCCGUUUAGCGAAUUUCACGACCCUCCCAAAAGAUAAUAACACGCUAGAAUUUUUUAGGCGUGGCUUUAAUAAAUUACAUUCCUAAAUACGGGUGGGCAUUUUAUGCUGCUCAAAUCCAAAUCUUAAAAUGUUGAAUCGAGAGUGUAGGAUUGCGGGUUCAUUUGGUGCGGCGCAACCCGAAAACACAUUUUAAACGACGUUCACUUUCUUAAAGAAAUAUUUUAUUAAAUAAAAGCGGUAAAAAAUAAAAAUUGGCACAUAGGUUCUUUAUGUAAUAAAAUUAGUUAAAGUUAAACGUAACAGUUGAGCGACCGUGCUAGAACCACGUAACUCGGGAAUGCCUAACACCUUCUCCGGGUUAACAGAAUUCCUUAUCCGGAUUUUUGGUUCGCGGACUAUGAAUAGAGUCAUAUUUUUCCUCAGUUCGUGAUUCAAUCGGUGACUUGGGACACCAUUAAUAUCUUAAGUGGAGACUCUGAAAUCUUAAUAAUAAAUCUCAUUCCGAUUGUCCUUUAAUUGGAAAAACUCCUUUAUGCCCCCUUGCGGGGGUGUAUUGCGAAAUGGAGGUGUGACAGCUCUGGCGACUCUGCUGGGAAUAAGAACCCAGAAUGUUUUGUUCAGGGUUCAGAAUUCAAGCUUAGAAUAAUUGUUGUGUUUGGCUUUAUCUGAUUUUGUUACAUGAUAUGUGCUUAAUGUGCUAAUUGAUUGCUUUUACCGCUUGGAUAUUAUGUGAACUGUAUAUAAACUGUGCCGCAAUCCAUCUCCUCUCUGAGUCUUCUGAAUCAUGAAGAAGGGCGUACGGUGUACGACUUCUUUUCUGUCUAGUGUCAAAUCCUAAUUUAGAACGAGGUUUGGAUAAGUCGCAAAGCCGGCGAAGCUUCUGUAUUCCCGGAUUUCUGCCUCCUCCUCGGCUCGAGCUGUCCGCUCGGGUAAGCCAGGUCUAGAUCAAACAGCCAGGUUUUGAACCUAGAAUAUCUCAGCCUCAUGCCGGAUUCCUAAUAGGAACGCUUGUUUGCGUCAUGUGCAUUUUGACUUAGAGGACUCAACACAGGGGUUGGGUCCGUCUAGGGCUAGCAACCUGAAAUGAAUAGACCAUUCGGAUGCAUCCUACUUGUUUUUUGUGCAUUUAUAUAUGUCAAACCUGCAUGUUUCCUGGCUUUUGAAUCUCGGGAAUGUUAAGCAUCCUACUUGUUUUCUGUGCAUUUAUUUGUUUGGGCUUGCAUGUUGACCGGCUUUUGAAUCUCAGUAACGUUAGAAAAUUAAGAAAAAAGGAAAAAAAAAGAGAAAAAUAGCAGUUGGAGAGUUAAUUGAUUGUUUUAGAAAAACCGAUGUCCAAGUACUGUCGGAACUCUGCCGAAAUUUUGAGACAGUGUAAAAAUGUUUUAUUUUAAAUAGUUGUUUUAUUCAAAAAGAGUCCGUCAUUUUAGUUUGUCUUGUUUGCAAAAAUGGAAAAUGAAAAAUAGUUUGCUUUGUCAUGAGAAAAGAAAAAAAAAGAGUCUUUAUUUUUGGUCUUCUUGUUUCAAAAUAGUUUAUUUACCAAUGGAAAAAUAGGGUAUUUUAUUGAAAAAGAAAAAAAAAGAGUCUUUCUUUUUGGUUGGGAAAAAUAGGUUGUUUGUUGAAAAUGAGAAGAAAAAAAUCGUCAUUUUGUCUUGUUUUCAAAAUAGAAAAGGAAAAAUAGUUUGUUUUGUCAUGAAAUAUGAGAAGGGAAAAGGAGUCUUUUAUUUUAGUCUUGUUUUCGAAAAUGAAAAAGAGAAAAAUAGUUUGUUCUGCCAUAGAAAAUGAAAAAAAAAAGAAAAAAAGAAAAAAAGUCUUUUAUUUUUUAGGCUAUUUUAUCGUUUGAUGAAAAACAAAGAAAAAGAGUCUUGUUUUUAAAAGUAGUUUUUUUUUUUUUUGCUUAUGAAAUGCCAAAAAAAAAAUAUAUCUUAUUUUAAAAUAGUUCGGUUAAUCUGCCCGAACUACGCAUGGUUUGAUUCUCACAAGGCGUGAGAUACAUAGGCAACCCUCAUCGGGUCCAACCUCCCCUUUACAAAAUAGCCCAAAAAAUAUCAAAAUUUUAAUUUAUGUCAUAAAUAAACCAGGAGAUGCCGUUUAUGUCAAAAAUAGCCAAAUGUUCCCAAACGGAACGUCGGAAGGCUGACUUUGCAUAAACAGCUACCUUUGGUCAUAUUUUAAUUUUUGACCCUCACAACCUUAAAUCUUUGUCCGCGAGGCACUGAAAGGCCGUGUUUGCAAUACCGGAUCAUUUAUUUUAAUUUGAAAAAAUAAGAAGAGUCAGUGGCCAAGUGGAUACCGUUCUUAUUUUGGGUUAAAAUUGGCAUAUAGGGAAAGGAAUCUGUCGGUGGUUUUUAAGUUUGUAUUUCUUUUGAUUAGAGUAUGUGGGUCGUUUGUUUUUGAGUCUGUCAGAAGCUGAUAGUUUAAGUUUGUCGGUUUUUAAACAUUUGUAGUCAGAGUUAGUUUUAUUAUGAAAAAUUGAAAAAUCCAAAAAAUAUUUUAUUGUUGUUAUCUUCUAUCUGCACGAACUACGCCUGGUCUGAUUCGUGCGGGGUCACGAUAUGUAGGCAAUCCACAUAGGAUUCGACCACAACCAAAAAAAUAAAAGAGAAAAGUAAAGUAAAAGAAAAAAUGAAAAAUAGAAAAGAGAAAUUGAAAAAUGUGAAAACAUGUUGUUAAUAUUGAGGGUCGACUCAAUCCAUUCUAACAUGUUUUGUUUUGAAUUGUGUAGAAAGUUGAGGUGGUUGCUUUGUCGUAACUCAUCCAUAAGACACAAGGUCGAAAAGCAAGGUAGUCAUGGCUGGCAAAGGGUUGAACACAGGUAUUGCUGAUCCGUCUAGAGGAAUUGUUGAAUCAGAAUUUGAGUUGAAAGAAGAGGUUUUGAGGUUGAAAACACAGAUAGUCGGAAUGCACAAAGCUUGGGCCAGUGGGUAUCCUCCGACAUCAGUCCCUGAUGCCCAACAUUAUCAUUCUCUUCAUUUUGAAUCUACCAGUGAGACUACGAAGCUUGCUAAAAUAGUGGAGCGGAAUGAGAUAUCCAAAAAACUGGAAGGGCUUAAGACGCUGAAGUUUAAUUUGUAUGAUGGGCGGGGAGAUCCGGUUGACCAUUUGAGGGAUUAUUGCAAUUAAACGAGGAAUGGCGGCAAGGAAGAUGAGUUGUUGAUGUCGCAUUUCAGUGAGAGCCUGACUGGUGCAGCCUUGGAAUGGCAUGAUCAUCAAGAUAUUGGGAAGUUGCACACGCUGGGCGACAUGACUCAAGAUUUUUUGCGACAUUUUCAGUACAACAAAGACAGUGUCCCAAUCAAGUCCUCCCCAUCUCAGAUGAAAAAGAAACCCAAAGAAAGUUUCAGGGAAUUUUGGGUCAGAUGGAACGAACAAGUUUCUCAAUAUGCUCCUUCCAUUGAUAAAAAAGAUAUUGUUGAGCCACGCCAACGAGAGAUCCCAAUGGUCAUUCCUGCCAAGCGUCUUCGGCCUCAACUCUAAUCCCAAACAUGUCCCCGAGCCUCACCUAGGAUACCUCAGUAUUAUUCUCCAAACAAUGGCCGGUCAGGUGUCCAAACACUAGGUCACUCCCAUUGCCAACGACAGCGGACGGUGGUCGUUCUUGGUAAAUGCUUUCAGCCUCCAUACCGACCCGAUGAACGUCCCCAAACUCCACAUAAGCCACCAGGCAUUCCUUCCAUUGGCGACAGGGUGCAGUGACCGUUCUUGCUAAGCCCCACGGAUAUCCUAGUACACCAAGUGUCCCGCCCCGAUGCUACGUCCCUGGAUCAAGUUUCGAGCAAAUCAGGCAUUUAGUAAUGAGAGGUUGCAGAAAAAGAAAGUCUAAACUCCCUUGGGAGAGUCAUACGCCAAUCUGUUCCAGAGACUAAAGAGUUAGGGCGUGUUGAAGCCUAUUCAGAUAAAAAUACUAGGCCCUCUUUCAAAGAAGUUGGAUUUUCCCCAAAGAUGCGCAUAUUGCUCAAAUGCCCCCGGACAUGACACAGAAAAAUGUUGGAGGCUAAAGAAAGUAAUUCAGGAGCUUAUGGAUGCAGGCGACAUCAUCGUGCCAAAUUUAGAUGCAACUAACACCAGCCAAAGUCCACCGCCUGUGUAAAAUGAGACGCACAUGGCGGAUAUGAUUUCCUUGGAAAUGUUAUUUGAAGGCCCCAGUAUUAUUGAUGCAAAACUCAGUGGCUAAGAUGCCGAGCUUGGUAAUUGGAAAGACACUUCAUCUCUUGGCCAGCUGGAGAGAAGUCUUGGUGGUUUAUUUUGUUGUCAUUUCUGUUUUCCGGGUUAUUUUCAGGGUUGUAAUCCGGAUAUUGUCUUGUGAUUCAAACCCUUCUAUCCUUUUAUAUGUUUAGUUCCUUUAGUCGUCAUAUUUUAUGUAGUGUUAUCUAGGUUUAUUUUAGUAUUGUACCCUAGUUGUGUUUCUUGUUUUGUUGUUAAACCCUUCCAUCGUCUGUUUAAUAUAAUUCUCUGUUUAUUGCCAUUUCUAGUCAUUUUUGUUUAGUUGUCUUUUCUUUCUACAAUUCUUUUCCUGCUGGUUCUAGUGACAUGACAUGCACACAUAAUUCUCAGUCGGAUUUUUAAAGCCAUGUUGGUCGGGAAGCAAUGAAACCAUUUUGAAGACGAUGAGGGCACUUGAGGAAAUAAGAACUGAUUUGGACGUUUUGAGAUUGUUUGAUGCUUGAACCAUGAGAAACUGGGUCAAUUAGAUUCUGAAGAUGAUGAGGGUAUUUGAGGAAAUAAGAAUAGAUUUGAAUGUUGUGAGAUUGUUUGACGCCCGAACCAUGUGAAACUGGGGCAAGCAAAAUAUAAAAAAUCCCCGCAAAAGAAAGUUGGCCAAAUUGACAGGGGGACGAUCGGGGUAAUAAGAGUAAGAGUGUGGCCCAAUGGCACAUUAAAUCAGACGGAUGUAGAAAGAAGGUGUUGGAAAUGGCCGUCAAUUCCGAUGCAGUCAAACGAUACUGUGUAUGGUUUCUGUAUUUUGAUUGUACCUGUUUGUACUUGGCAUAUUUUGAGGGUUGAAAUGACGAAGGCGUUUUGUUCUGCUAUUCAAAUACUUUUUCCAUUGUCACCCUUUUUGAGCCAUUUUUAUUUUCUUUCAUGCCCCUCUUUCGGAAUUAAUGGAACAAUCAAAGAAAUGCAAGUGCCGGAGAUAAGCAAAUGGAAAAAGAUGGAAAAAGAAAAGGAAAGAAAGGAAAAAGAAGACGGAAAAGAAGAGAAAAGGGAAAAAAGAGGGAAAAAAGGAAAAAGAAAGAAAGGAAAAGAAAAAAAGAAAAGAAAAGAAAAGAAAAGAGAAGAAAAGAUAGAAAAAGAAAAGAAAAAAAAGAAAGAAAAACAGAAAGAAAAGAAGAGAAAGAAAAUCACGACAACAUAGUUUCUAUGACGUGAACUACGUUUGACUUGAUCCCCAAAGGGUAUGGAGGCAGGCUUUCUGAGGUUCAGUCAUACCAAAAUAAAAUUCCGAAAGUCCCCAAGCAAGAAACUGGGUUAGAAGUUUUGAUUGUGGAGAGACAUCGGAUUUUGAAAGUUCUAGUCUUAACCCCAUUUUGAAUUGAUUUGAGACUUUAUAUCAUUUCUUUCUAACCCUAUCCAAAAGCCCAAAUUUCAGUCCAAAGGAAGACCUUCCGAUCAAUCUUUGAGAAAUGCCAAGUCAAGAAGGAAAGAUAAUUCAUGUAAGGGCCAACACUCCAGUCCAAACAAGGUGAUGAAAGCUGAGAGAAAUAAAAAAAAUGAGAGUCAUAUUGGCGAAAACCUUCACGGGCACCUUGAGGCGAUGGUAAGUCGAGAGAAAGAAAAAAUGAGAGAGAUUUGUUGGUGAAAACCCUUCGGGCACUACAAGUCGAAUAAGGAAUGUAAAUCGGAUUAGAUAAAUGGAGCACCGAAGCCCUGUCUCACGACGAAAGAUACAACAAGAGAUGAACAUCGGGUUUGAUUGGCAGAAUAUCCACAUGUGCAUGUCAUGGUCGUUAGAGUUGGUAUCCAUAUUUUAUAGGUUUCUACUUCGUAGUGUCUUCUUUAGUGAUCAUUUCUUUACUAUGUCUUUCAGUUCGUUCUUCUGUUUUAUUCACUUCCUCUUUCUGAGUCUGUUUGAUCGUAACAAGUGAGAAAUGACUUUAAAUUUUCCACCAGCUUUCCAAUUGGAGAAAACAACAAGAUUAAGGGUAAUAAAUCAACACGCUUGGGGGAUCAUAUGAAACACAAAGUUUGGUAGAUAAGUUCAGGAGUAAUGCAACAGAUGGAUGGUAUUGGGUUUGAACAAAGAAUAGAUAUUUUCUGUGACAAGGGUCAAGCGAAUGAGCAAUAGACUUUAUGGUCAAGGGGAUAGGGGUUGUGAUUUAAGAAGAAACAACAUACUGUGGGGGCAGUAGAUGCAAUUUGGGAAUUCAUGUAAGACUCAAAGGUCAGGAAAAUGCCAGUUCAUGAGCGAUGUGAGAAACAGAAGAUAUAGGGUUUGAAUGCAGAAAAGGUAUGGAUUCAGAUAAGAAGAUUAGAAGUAAUAAUUGAGAGGUGUUCGUCAAGAAGGGCGUAAGUUAUCCGCCAAGUUUCAAAGAUGGUCGUACAAUGCCGAGCAUGGAAAGGAGAAAAGAAAGGCCAUCCCCAACGGAAGUACCACAACCAACCACCACAAUUUAAAAUGACAAAAUUUUCUUUGAUUUGAAAUAGAGGCAUAGAAAUGUUAUUGAUGGCAAAAAGAUAUGCUGGGGCAGAAAAUUUUCUACCGUUUUGAAAAUUGUUUUUGAAGUCGGGCACCAUUCGAAGAACAUGAAGGUCAAAUACAAGUUUGUUAAAAGAAGAAGAGGGAAGUAGUGUUCGGGAAAAAAAUACCAGUUUUAAGGAAAGUAAUUUCGGAGCAUUGGAACACCAAGUUGUUAGGGAAGCGGUUUUUGAAGGAGGGCAACACCAACUUUUUUGGAAGCGAAGGAAGGUAAUUCAAGUUAGAAGGUAGAUAAAACAAGUUUCAGAGAAAAUGGUUGAGAUAAAAUCUUAGUCUGAUGCAAGCAGUUCUGAAGGAAGGUAAUUCAAGUUAGAAGGUAGAUAAUAAAACAAGUUUCAGAGGAAACAGUUGAGAUAAAAUCUUAGUCUGAUGAAAUUUUCACCUAAGAAAAAAAUCUUAGUCUGAUGAAUCUUUCACCUAAGAUGAAGGUAAAAGAUUUUAGUCUGAUGAAUUUUUCACCUAAGGUAUAGAAAUCUUAGUCAGUUGAAUCUUUCACCUAAGAUAAAGGCAGAAGUUUGGACAAGAAAGGAAGGCAUAAUUCGGGAAGAAAGACAGAAGUUGGAAAAAAAGAAGAAAGCAUUAUUUAGGAAGGAAGGCAUAAGUUGGGAAAAGAAGGGAAGGCAUAACUUGGAAAGGAAAGCAGAAGUUGGAAAACCAAAGAAGGCAUAAUCUGGGAGAAAGAAAGGAAGACACAAUGUGAAAAAGAAGGAACGGAAUGUUUGAAUUCAAAAAUAGACCUAGGCCGAUGAAUUAUCUCCUAGAGUCAAAAUCUCAGUCCGAUGGAUCUUCCUCCUAAGAUCACACAAAAAUGGACCUAGUUUGAUGAAUUAUCUCCUAGAGUCAAAAUCUCAGUCCGAUGAAUCUUUCUCCUGAGAUCACACAAACGUGGACCCAGUCUGAUGAAUUAUCUCCUGGAGUCAAAAUCUUCCUAAGAUGAAAAUCUUAGUCUGAUGAAUUUUUCACCUAAGAUAAAAAUAAGAAUCUUAGUCUGUUGAAUCUGUCACCUAAGAUGAAAAUCUUGGUCUGAUGAAUUUUUUACCUAAGAAUAAUUUUAAAUUUUAACAUACAUUUCAGUUUUUAAAUUUUUAAAAUUGUAAUUCAGUCUUAUCACAAUUUAAGUUUUAGUUCUUAUUAGUAUGUGGUAACAGGCACCCAGUUUUCCAAACUGGGAAGAAAGUUUUCUUUGUUUUGUCUAUUUUUGUGAAGUCAGGAGCCCGCCUUGAGAACAGAGGAAUACAUUCAAGUUUUGAAGUCAGGAGCUCGCCUUAAGAACAGAGGUAUUACAAUUCAAGUUUUAGUUUUUAAAUUUGUAUUAGUAUCCGGUAACAAACCCCAGUUUUUAAACUGGGGCAGAAAGUUUUCUUUGUUUUUUCUAUUUUGUGAAUUCAGGAGACCGCAUGAAGAACAGAGGAAUACAUUCAAGUUUUGAAGUCAGGAGCCCGCCUGAAAAACAGAGGAAUACAUUCAAGUUCAAGUUUAUUCAAGUUCAGCAGUUUGGAGGGAAAGAACAACAUCUCAGUGCAUGAUUUGAAGUAACAACAGUGAGUUUCACCAAAGAAAACACAAGGCAACAAGGCAACAAGAGAGAAAACAAGAUAACAAGACAACAAGGAAGUACAAGAUGCAAGUUUGAAGAUUUUAGAUAGUUUUUUUUUGUAAUUCAUAGUUCAUAGCUUAGGCUAGCUUCUUUUAUUUUGACAUGGUGUAAUAAGGAAGGUCAACGAGCAGUAGCAGCAGCAAUCGCUGUGAAACCACAGCUCCUGGUAGUCCCUGCUACCAGACACUCCCGAACUACACUGAACUGAUUCCUGUUUAGCCCAGGAUAUAUAGGCAACGUCUGAAGCAGGGUGCGGUCAAACGUUUCAAAAUGCUUUGCAACAGAAUUUUCAAACGGGCAAAAGUCGCUCAUAUUUGCUCACUUAUCUUUGCCUUAAAACAUUUCAUGUUUCCAAGCAAAAAGGGGCAGCUCUGAGCACGUGAUUUUUGCCCUAUAUAUGAAUAAUUCCCACAAAUUCAAACAAAAAAAUUUUUCCUUUAUUUUUUACAAUUUUUGUGCAUUUUUUUCCAUUUCCUGAUAAUUGUUGCAUUUUAUUUGUGCAUGUGAAUUCGUAAAAAAUACAAAAUAUGUAUUUCCAUUUAGGAUUUAAUUUCAUUUUAAUACUAAUUAGGGGUCAAAUUGUUUUAGAACAAUGCAUGAAAAAUAACAAAAAUAGUUCAUUUUUUGCAUUUUAGUUGUUAAUUGUUUAGUUUGUCGCGAAAUAGAUUUUAAACAAUUUUAUGAAUUAAUUAGUUUAAUUUUAGAAAUAAUUAGAUCUUUAUCUUUAUUUUUGUAUUGUGUAUAAAAAUCAGAAAAUAUGAAAAAAUAUAAUGUGGAAAAAACAAAAGAGGAAAUAAUAGGAAAAUAGAAGAAAAGAAAAUACAAAGAAGAUGGUUUGAUUUAAAGGCAAAAUUUGGGCAAUUUUUGUACCCAAAUCCCAGCCCAGAAACGACCAUCAUCCAACCCAAUCUGCUACACACAAAUUGGGGCCAUUUUUGUACGCAAAUCCCAGCCCAGAAACGACCAUCACCCAGCCCAAGAAACGACCAUCAACCAGCCCAAUCCGAUCCACAACCCGGUCCAGGACCCCACCAAAAACGACGUCGUUUUCCUUUCUUGCAUCCUGACCGUUCAAUGCCCUUGAUCCAACGGCCCUUGUUCACUCGUACAUAUCUGAUAAAAGUGUCGGAAUAUCAGUCUAAACCCUAGAGACAAACAUACAUUUCCUCGUACCCCUUUCAUCUUCCUCGUAUUGAAUGAGUGACCCCGCCUGAGCUGCCGCCGAUGGUGAACGCCACCACCACCAAUGGCCUCCAGAUUAAAAUUCCGUCUUCUCCUCGUCUCCCUCGUCUCGAUUCCCCAGUUCAUUUCUCUCAAAUCCUAGCCUAGCUCGUCGAAUCUUGGCCCAAAGCUUUUCCGACCAAGAUGCAAAACCAUCCAAACCUUAC
rnacentral:lncRNA from 1 species